rnacentral:lncRNA from 1 species
AUCUUGUGAGUCUUCGAACAGCGGGAGGUGGCAAACGUUGGCAGAACUGGGGCUGUUUCCUCCUUCGCACUUKGUUUUAAAACAAGUUGGGGCCUUGCGACUUCCCAAGAAAAUCCCGGCAAAUUUGCUACGAGUUGCUUGGGCCGCGACUUUUGAGAAGUAUUUUAACCCCAGCCGCUGAAGUCGUGGGGGAGUUCSUUUUCUCCGCGGGGCCGCGGUGCUCUCAGCCCGGGUGAGGCUGGCGCGCGGGUGGGAGGCCCGGGACGCGCUCUGGCGAUCACUGGGGCAGAGCAAGUUGCUCCAGGGGUGACUGCACUGGCCUGGGCGCGGGAGAGGGGGGCACUUGUCCUGCAAAGCUGCGUUUCAAUCCAGUCAUCUUUCCUCUUGUCUCCUGGUCUGACCCCGCAGUCCGCCACUGCCCGCGCUGGAGCACCGCGCCCUUGGCCACGGGAGCCCAAGUAAAAGGCUAGAUUCGAGGCAGCGGGCGGAGCCGGGACCAACGGGGCGGUGACUGAGCGGCGGGCCCCGCCCGGCCCCGCCCGCCGCACUCGGGCGCCUCUCUCAAGCCCGGCGGGACCAAGGGACUGACCGACCGACGCGGGCCACCCCGCUCUCCUCGCCGCCAAAGGCGGCGGGCGCGGGGCGGCGCGGAGAGGCCUGAUCCCUGCAGCACUGGCGCGCAGCGUUGCAGAGCRGAGCAAGCCAGACGCACCAGGACUCCUGCAGGCUCCGGCGAUUCGGGUUGCAGGUGCAGGUCUACUCCCGCAAGGGACUUUGCAUCCUACUGGGAGCCUGUCUGCAGGCGUCCCCCAUCUUCCAGUCCCCGGAGCGCGCCGUCGCUGGAGUCCUAAGUCUCUGCCUGUUGCGCGAGCUGCGAACAGCCGAAACGGUGUGUGAGUCCCUUUGAAAGCCGCGGGGAAGGUAUCUAGGAUCAGCUUUCGGGGCUUUGGGUGGGUUGGAAAACAGACUGGAGGCGGGAGAAGAGAUGAGCCGCGGAAAGGCGGCACCUCGCGUAGGGGCAUCCCCGGGGCGUUUCCUUAGUCGGGAAGCCCUUCCUUCCCUUUCUCGAGAGGAGGCGCUU